rnacentral:rRNA from 1 species
UACGUAGGGGGCGAGCGUUGUCCGGAUUUAUUGGGCGUAAAAGGCUUGUAGGUGGCCACGGCAAGUCGGAUGUGAAAUCUCCCGGCUCAACUGGGAGGGGUCAUUCGGUACUGCCGGGCUCGAGGCCGGUAGGGGGAAGCGGAAUUCCCGGUGUAGCGGUGAAAUGCGCAGAUAUCGGGAGGAACACCGAUGGCGAAGGCAGGUCUCUGGGCAUUAACUGACGCUGAGGAGCGAAAGCAUGGGGAGCGAACAGG